rnacentral:rRNA from 1 species
GACGAACGCUGGCGGUGUGCUUAACACAUGCAAGUCGAACGGUAAGGCCCUUUCGGGGGUACACGAGUGGCGAACGGGUGAGUAACACGUGAGUAACCUGCCCUCAUCUCUGGGAUAACAGUCGGAAACGGUUGCUAAUACUGGAUAUGAGCUUGCAAGGAAUCUUGUGGGUUGGAAAGAUUUUUUUUGGUUGGGGAUGGACUCGCGGCCUAUCAGCUUGUUGGUGAGGUAGUGGCUCACCAAGGCUUCGACGGGUAGCCGGCCUGAGAGGGCGACCGGCCACAUUGGGACUGAGAUACGGCCCAAACUCCUACGGGAGGCAGCAGUGGGGAAUAUUGCACAAUGGACGGAAGUCUGAUGCAGCAACGCCGCGUGCGGGAUGACGGCCUUCGGGUUGUAAACCGCUUUCAAUUGUGACGAAGCUUUUUUGUGACGGUAGCAGUAGAAGAAGCACCGGCUAACUACGUG